rnacentral:rRNA from 1 species
GACAGGUUGAGAGCUCUUUCUCGAUUCAGUGGUUGGUGGUGCAUGGCCGUUCUUAGUUCGUGGAGUGAUCUGUCUGGUUAAUUCCGAUAACGAACGAGACUCUUGCCUGCUAAAUAGACGGCGUCGGCCGCGCGUCGGCGACCGUUCGCUUCUUAGAGGGACAAGCGGCUUUCAGCCGCGUGAAGCCGAGAGCAAUAACAGGUCAGUGAUGCCCUCAGAUGUUCGGGGCCGCACGCGCGCUACACUGUUUGCAUCAGCGUGUUCCACCCGCGCCGACCGGCGCGGGCAACCCGUUGAACCGCAAACGUGCUAGGGAUCGGAGAUUGCAAUUGUUCUCCGUGAACGAGGAAUUCCUUGUACUGGCGAGUCAUCAGCUCGCGGGGAAUCUGUCCCUGCCCUUUGUACACACCGCCCGUCGCUACUACCGAUUGAGUGGUUUAGUGAGGCUCACGGACUGCGCGCGGCAAUCGACGCUCUCGGGCGUCGCGCCGCAAGCGGAAAGUGAGACGAACUUGAUCACUUCUAGGAAGUAAA